rnacentral:tRNA from 3 species
GUCCCCAUCGUCUAGUGGCCUAGGACCCCGCCCUUUCACGGCGGUAACACGGGUUCGAAUCCCGUUGGGGAUGCACCA